GGCAAGCCUGAUGCAGCCAUGCCGCGUGUAUGAAGAAGGCCUUCGGUUGUAGCAUUUAGCGAGGAGGAAGGCGUUGUGGUUAAUAACUGCAGAAGCGAUUGACGUUACUCGCAGAAGAAGUACCGGCUAACUCCGUGCCAGCAGCCGCGGUAAUACGGAGGGUGCAAGCGGCAAUCGGAAUUACUGGGCGUAAAGCGCACGCAGGCGGUCUGUCAAGUCGGAUGUGAAAUCCCUGGCUCAACCUGGGAACUGCAUCCGGAACUGUCAAGCUAGAGUGCAGGAGAGGAAGGUAGAAUUCCCGGUGUAGCGGUGAAAUGCGUAGAGAUCGGGAGGAAUACCAGUGGCGAAGGCGGCCUUCUGGACUGACACCGAUACUGAGGUGCGAAAGCGUGGGUAGUAAACAGGAUUAGAUACCCCCUGGUAGUCCCGAGGAGGUCCUGACCGGUAAAGUGAGAGUUCGAUUAUGGCCUGUGGGAUUGAACGUUGGCGGGAUGCUUACACAUGCAAGUCGAACGGCAGCACGGACUUCGGCUAGUCUGGUGGCGAGUGGCGAACGGGUGAGUAAUGUAUCGGAACGUGCCUAGUAGCGGGGAUAACUACGCGAAAAAGGUGAAGCAUUACCGCAUACUACGCUCCUUCGGGAAAGCGGGGGACCUUCGGGCCUCGCACUAUUAGAGCGGCUGAUAUCGGAUUAGCUAGUUGGUGGGGUAACGGCUCACCAAGGCGACGAUCCGUAGCUGGUUUGAGAGGACGACCAGCCACACUGGGACUGAGACACGGCCCAGACUCCUACGGGAGGCAGCAGUGGGGAAUUUUGGACAAAUGGGGAAACCCUGAUCCAGCCAUCCUGCGCGUGCGAUGAAGGCCUUUCGGUUGUAAAGCACUUUGGCAGGAAGGAAACGGCACGGGAUAAUACCUCGUGCAACUGACGGUACCUGCAGAAUAAGCACCGGCUAACUACGUGCCAGCAGCCGCGGUAAUACGUAGGGUGCAAGCGUUAAUCGGAAUUAUUGCUAAAGCGUGCGCAGGCGGUUCGGAAAGAAAGAUGUGAAAUCCCAGAGCUUAACGUUGGAACUGCAUUUUUAACUACCGAGCUAGAGUGUGUCAGAGGGAGGUGGAAUUCCGCGUGUAGCAGUGAAAUGCGUAGAUAUGCGGAGAACACCGAUGGCGAAGGCAGCCUCCUGGGAUAACACUGACGCUCAUGCACGAAAGCGUGGGGAGCAAACAGGAUUAGAUACCUCCUGGUAGUCCACGCCCUAAACGAUGUCAACUAGCUGUUGGGGCCUUCGGGCUUUCGGUAGCGCAGCUAACGCGCGUGAAGUUGACCGCCUGGGGAGUACGGUCGCAAGAUUAAAACUCAAAGGAAUUGACGGGGACCCGCACAAGCGGUGGAUGAUGUGGAUUAAUUCGAUGCAACGCGAAAAACCUUACCUACCCUUGACAUGUCUGGAAUCCCGAAGAGAUUUGGGAGUGCUCGCAAGAGAACCGGAACACAGGUGUUGCAUGGCUGUCGUCAGCUCGAGGUGUCGUGAGAUGUUGGGUUAGUCUCGCAACGAGCAAGUAACCCUUGUCAUUAGUUGCUACGAAAGGGCACUCUAAUGAGACUGCCGGUGACAAACCCGGAGGAAGGUGGGGAUGACGUCAAGUCCUCAUGGCCCUUAUGGGUAGGGCUUCACACGUCAUACAAUGGUCGGGACAGAGGGUCGCCAACCCGCGAGGGGAGCCAAUCCCAGAAACCUGAUCGUCCGGAUCGCAGUCUGCAACUCGACUGCGUGAAGUCGGAAUCGCUAGUAAUCGCGGAUCAGCAUGUCGCGGUGAAUACGUUCCCGGGUCUUGUACACACCGCCCGUCACACCAUGGGAGUGGGUUUUACCAGAAGUAGUUAGCCCAACCGUAAGGAGGGCGAUUACCACGGUAGGAUUCAUGACUGGGGUGAAGUCGUAACAAAGGUAA
rnacentral:misc_RNA from 1 species